AACAGAGCAGCCAAGAUGUCCUCCACCUCCUGCAUCUCCUCCACCUCCUAAAGCAAAAAGUGAGAUCCAUUUGAAGAAAACACCAGACUGGGAGAACUAUCAAGAACGUCUUUAUUUUUUCUCCACCAAUAAGUCCUCCUGGAAUGAAAGCAGACGUUCCUGCAAAGAUCUGGGAGGAGACCUGGUGAAGAUAGACAGCAGAGAGGAGCAGGUGUUCCUGGAGAUCAGAGUGAGAGGUUUGAUGGAGGAAGCAGAGGACAAGUUCUGGAUCGGACUGACAGACGCUGAGGAAGAAGGCAGAUGGUUCUGGGUGGACGGAUCACCACUGAAUGAAAGUUUGAGUUUUUGGAGCGACGGAGAGCCCAACAACUACGCAGGGAGAACUCCAGCUGGAGAGGAUUGUGUGAGGAUGGGGAAGAUAGAAGGAGCUGGUGAUCUGAAGUGUUGGAUUGAUCAUUCCUGCGAUGUUCUUCAGAAAAGUGUCUGUGAAAAAGCUAAACCACCUGUCAGACAUCAAGACUUUACAUACGACUAUACUGGUUGGCCGCGUUUGGGACGCUGAUCACAUCAUCCUGGGGAUUGGCGUUAAACAACCUUUUUCUUUUCAACAAUAUCUUUAUUGAGUUUUAUAUAUAUAUAUUUUACUUGUAUAAAGAGACAGUGAUCAAAACAAUAG